GGGAUACUAGCUCAGUAGGUAGAGCAGCGCCCUUUUAAGGCGAAGGUCUUGGGUUCGAUCCCCGAGUGUCCCACCA
rnacentral:tRNA from 1 species